UACGGAGGGUGCAAGCGUUAUCCGGAUUCACUGGGUUUAAAGGGUGCGUAGGUGGGUUGGUAAGUCAGUGGUGAAAUCUCCGUGCUUAACAUGGAACUGCCAUUGAUACUACUGAUCUUGAAUUUUCUGGAGGUAAGCGGAAUAUGUCAUGUAGCGGUGAAAUGCUUAGAUAUGACAUAGAACACCAAUUGCGAAAGGCAGCUUGCUACAGGGAUAUUGACACUGAGGCACGAAAGCGUGGGGAUCAAACAGG
rnacentral:rRNA from 1 species